GCCUCUGUGGUGUAGUGGUAGAGCACGCGUCCCCGCAUACGAUGAAAUGCGGGUUCAAUCCUCGCCUGACGCC